rnacentral:rRNA from 1 species
GAUGAACGCUGGCGGCGUGCCUAAUACAUGCAAGUCGAGCGAACGGACGAGAAGCUUGCUUUUCUGAUGUUAGCGGCGGACGGGUGAGUAACACGUGGAUAACCUACCUAUAAGACUGGGAUAACUUCGGGAAACCGGAGCUAAUACCGGAUAAUAUUUUGAACCGCAUGGUUCAAAAGUGAAAGACGGUCUUGCUGUCACUUAUAGAUGGAUCCGCGCUGCAUUAGCUAGUUGGUAAGGUAACGGCUUACCAAGGCAACGAUGCAUAGCCGACCUGAGAGGGUGAUCGGCCACACUGGAACUGAGACACGGUCCAGACUCCUACGGGAGGCAGCAGUAGGGAAUCUUCCGCAAUGGGCGAAAGCCUGACGGAGCAACGCCGCGUGAGUGAAGAAGGUCUUCGGAUCGUAAAACUCUGUUAUUAGGGAAGAACAUAUGUGUAAGUAACUGUGCAUAUCUUGACGGUACCUAAUCGGAAAGCCACGGCUAACUACGUG